UACGUAGGAUGCAAGCGUUGUCCGGAAUUACUGGGCGUAAAGGGCGCGUAGGCGGCCUCUGCAAGUCGACUGUGAAAUCUCCGGGCUUAACCCGGAAAGGUCAGCCGAUACUGCAGGGCUAGAGUGCAGAAGGGGCAACUGGAAUUCUCGGUGUAGCGGUGAAAUGCGUAGAUAUCGAGAGGAACACCUGCGGCGAAGGCGGGUUGCUGGGCUGACACUGACGCUGACAGCGCGAAAGCUAGGGGAGCGAACGGG
rnacentral:rRNA from 1 species